rnacentral:rRNA from 1 species
AUUGAACGCUGGCGGCAGGCCUAACACAUGCGAGUCGAGCGGAUGAAGGGAGCUUGUUCCUGGCUUCAGCGGCGGACGGGUGAGUAAUGCAUAGGAAUCUGCCUGGUCGUGGGGGAUAACGUCCGUAAACGGGCGCUAAUACCGCAUACGUCCUGAGGGUGAAAGUGGGGGAUCUUCGGACCUCGCGCUAUCUGAUGAGCCUAGGUCGGAUUAGCUAGUUGGUGGGGUAAAGGCCUACCAAGGCGACGAUCCGUAACUGGUCUGAGAGGAUGAUCAGUCACACUGGAACUGAGACACGGUCCAGACUCCUACGGGAGGCAGCAGUGGGGAAUAUUGGACAAUGGGCGAAAGCCUGAUGCAGCCAUGCCGCGUGUGUGAAGAAGGUCUUCGGAUUGUAAAGCACUGUAAGUUGGGAGGAAGGGCAGUGAGAGAAUACCUGGCUGUUUUGACGGUACCAACAGAAUAAGCACCGGCUAACUACGUG